GAUGAACGCUGGCGGCGCGCCUAACACAUGCAAGUCGAACGAUUAAAGCACCUUCGGGUGUGUAUAAAGUGGCGAACGGCUGAGUAACACGUGGGCAACCUGCCCCUCUCAUUGGGAUAGCCACGGGAAACCGUGGAUAAUACCGAAUACUUCGGGACUUCCGCAUGGAAGACUCGAGAAAGCUCCGGCGGAGAGGGAUGGGCCCGCGGCCUGUUAGCUUGUUGGUGGGGUAAUGGCCUACCAAGGCAAUGAUGGGUAGCUGGGUUGAGAGACCGACCAGCCAGAUUGGGACUGAGACACGGCCCAGACUCCUACGGGAGGCAGCAGUGGGGAAUCUUGCACAAUGGGCGAAAGCCUGAUGCAGCGACGCCGCGUGCGGGAUGAAGGCCUUCGGGUUGUAAACCGCUUUCAGCAGGGACGAGGCGAAAGUGACGGUACCGGCAGAAGAAGCCCCGGCGAACUACGU
rnacentral:rRNA from 1 species